rnacentral:rRNA from 1 species
GACGAAGGAUGCAAGCGUUAUCCGGAUUCAUUGGGUUUAAAGGGAGCGUAGGCGGAUUGGUAAGUCAGUGGUGAAAUCUGUGGGCUUAACCCACAAACUGCCAUUGAUACUGCUGAUCUAGAGUACAGUUGCCGUUGGCGGAAUAUGACAUGUAGUGGUGAAAUACUUAGAUAUGUCAUAGAACACCGAUUGCGAAGGCAGCUAACGAAGCUGUAACUGGCGCUGAGGCUCGAAAGUGCGGGGAUCAAACAGG